rnacentral:rRNA from 1 species
UCGCGUUUUCGGAGCGGCCGAUAUCGGAUUAGCUAGUAGGUGAGGUAAAGGCUCACCUAGGCGACGAUCCGUAGCUGGUCUGAGAGGACGACCAGCCACACUGGAACUGAGACACGGUCCAGACUCCUACGGGAGGCAGCAGUGGGGAAUUUUGGACAAUGGGCGAAAGCCUGAUCCAGCCAUGCCGCGUGAGUGAAGAAGGCCUUCGGGUUGUAAAGCUCUUUCAGCCGGAAAGAAAACGCAUGGGUUAAUAACCUGUGUGGAUGACGGUACCGGAAGAAGAAGCACCGGCUAACUACGUGCCAGCAGCCGCGGUAAUACGUAGGGUGCGAGCGUUAAUCGGAAUUACUGGGCGUAAAGCGUGCGCAGGCGGUUUUGUAAGACAGAUGUGAAAUCCCCGGGCUUAACCUGGGAACUGCAUUUGUGACUGCAAGGCUAGAGUACGGCAGAGGGGGGUAGAAUUCCACGUGUAGCAGUGAAAUGCGUAGAUAUGUGGAGGAAUACCGAUGGCGAAGGCAGCCCCCUGGGUCGAUACUGACGCUCAUGCACGAAAGCGUGGGGAGCAAACAGGAUUAGAUACCCUGGUAGUCCACGCCCUAAACGAUGUCAACUAGGUGUUGGGGGAGGAGACUUCCUUAG